rnacentral:rRNA from 1 species
GAGUUUGAUCCUGGCUCAGGAUGAACGCUGGCGGCGUGCCUAAUACAUGCAAGUCGAACGCACAGCGAAAGGUGCUUGCACCUUUCAAGUGAGUGGCGAACGGGUGAGUAACACGUGGAUAACCUACCUCAAGGUUGGGGAUAACAUUUGGAAACAGAUGCUAAUACCGAAUAAAACUUAGUAUCGCAUGAUACCAGGUUAAAAGGCGCUACGGCGUCACCUAGAGAUGGAUCCGCGGUGCAUUAGUUAGUUGGUGGGGUAAAGGCUUACCAAGACAAUGAUGCAUAGCCGAGUUGAGAGACUGAUCGGCCACAUUGGGACUGAGACACGGCCCAAACUCCUACGGGAGGCUGCAGUAGGGAAUCUUCCACAAUGGGCGAAAGCCUGAUGGAGCAACGCCGCGUGUGUGAUGAAGGCUUUCGGGUCGUAAAGCACUGUUGUAUGGGAAGAACAGCUAGAGUAGGGAAUGACUUUAGUUUGACGGUACCAUACCAGAAAGGGACGGCUAAAUACGUGCCAGCAGCCGCGGUAAU